rnacentral:misc_RNA from 1 species
UUUCCGUAGGUGAACCUGCGGAAGGAUCAUUUCCGAACAAAAAACUUAUAUCAACCAACCAUGUGAAUUGUUGAUUGUUAUUCCUUACUCCUUGUUUCAAAAAAAGGGUUAGGAUCUUAACUGAUCUUCCUCCUUUUGGCGAAACUUGGAGGCCUUGAUGAACUACCUUGUCACAAAGGUUUAUAUACUUGUGCUUUCGAAAGAAGGCCAAUUCUUUUCUUAAAACGAAAUCAAUUGAAGUUGACAACUUUUAACGGUGGAUCUCUUGGCUCGU